CUCUGUGCUCAGGCGACCUACAAAGAAAAGUUCUUCUCCCCCUCUGUCUUUGUUUCCGAGUCUGUUCUCAAAAUCUCUGGAUUUAAUCUUUUGGUUAACCAAAAUCAAGUUUUAUUGCAACUGGUGUUGAUUUUAAUUCAGUUGAUGAGAUUAUUAUAUUUUUUUCAGAUUGCAAAACAACGGACCAACUUCAUGGCCAACUUCUUAACUGUAAAUCCGUAGGACUGAUGGAAGAAAAAUGAGGAGGAUAUCAAAAUAGCUUUACAUUUUGAGCACUAGCUAAAAAAAAUAGUGUCUUGUUUUCAAACUUGUGGAA